ensembl:snoRNA
UGCUCUGAUGAAAUCACUCAUAGGAAGUGCCAUCAGAUGCGACAAAUGUAUGCACAUGUAUGCAC